ensembl:lncRNA
CGGGCUUAAGCAUUGAAAACAACAGACUUUUGCCCACACAGAACUGAGCCUAGUUGGGGAGGGUGCCCCCUGGUGGUCCGAAUUGGGAAAACAGCUCUCCCAGUGUGCGUACAAAAGAGAAUUUCAAAGUGUCAGCCGCAGGGCCGAUUAGGCCGGGAUGGGAGUGGGUAUCCUGUGUAAUUUAGAAUAGCUUCCAGGGAAUCCUAAAAGGCCUCUUCUCAUCGAAGGCUGAAGAGCUAACUCCCUUAGACAAGCUUCAGCAUGUUUGCCAACCUUGGAAUUAAAAUUUUGGACUCCUUUUCUUUGGCAACGUAAGUGCUAAAUUUUUUUUUAAUUAUAUUUAAACGCUGUUCUGGGCCUCUAAGCUUGGUGCACAGAGAAAACACGUUGUUAAAUAAGGAAAAGUGAUGGAAACUCUCUUCCUUCCCUGGUCAGCACCAUGUGGAGCUAUGUUGUCAGUCUUGAUUUAGAAUGUUGCAAUUUUCACAAUAGUACAGGCUGCCUUUUGCCAGCUUUUGUUGUAAUUCGCCAGUGCUUAUUUCUAAUUCUACAGAGUUACUAGGCCUUCAAAAUGGAGACAAAGGUGUGAGGGCUGGAGAUGUAGCUCAUGGGUAGCAUGCGUUCCAACACCAGCGGGGCGGAGGGAGCCAGGGAGAAGAUACUAACAACCAUCUCUCAUUUAUUUGUCUUAAAAGACUUAUUGCAGCUGGCCACAAUGACACACACCUUUAAUCCCAGCACUCAGGAGGCAGAGGUUGUCUGAUCUCUGAGUUUGAGGCCAGCCUGGUUUACAGAAGAGCGAGUUCCAGGACAGCCAGGGCUACACAGAGAAACCCUGGCUCAAAAAAAAAAAAAAAAAAUCCCGUGUAUGUUUGAGCACUGCAUGGCUUUGUGGUCACCACAUGCACACAGGCACAUCACAGGUCACACAGCGUCAAGUCCCCUGGAACUGGAGGAGUUACAGACAGCUGUGGAGACUGAGCUGGGGUCCUCCGCAAGAGCAGUGAGUAGGCUUCCUCACCCGGCCAUCCCCCUAGACCCCUGUAACUGUUUCUUCUUGCAAUCUGACCAAUUUUCCUGCUCAUUUCUACAUGUAAAACAAAGAAAGCAAAACUGGAAAAAACACAUGUAUAGAAAGCCCCAGAGUGGCCCGGUGUUGGUGACGCACGCCUUUAAUCCCAGCACUCGGGAGGCGGAUCUCUGUGAGUUCGAGACCAGCCUGGUCUACAAGAGCUAGUUCCAGGACAGCCUCCAAAGCUACAGAGAGAAACCCUGUCUCGAAAAAACAAAAACAAAAACAAAAACAAAACAAAGAGAAAGCCCCAGAGCAGAUCAGUCUACGAAAUCAGCUUCCUGAUGAAUGAGGAGAUGAGACACUGUGGGGUCACAUAGGAAAACACAUUUUCACUAUUAUUUCUACAUGAAAUUACCGCCUGGCAAAUUUUGCUAAUCAAAGUUGAGGUGGUAUGAGUUCUAAGUGUGGAAAAAUUAUCAGUCCACAAAAUAACUCAGUCUUCCUGGCUGUUUGAGAUGCCACCCAUAUAACUGAGACCUUGAACUUUAAUAAGUGACACCUCUCAGAUGUAUGGACCUAAGGUUGAGAUGAACUUGCAAGUGCUAAUUACCAAUCUGGGAUUGAUUAUCCGUGGUAAGCUGUAGGUUCACUUCUGUUCAUUCCUAGACAGAUCAGACUGGAAGUCAGUGAGCUGGGGCAGGGGCUGCAAGUCUGAUUCCACUCCUAGCACUUGGCCCAGAGGCUUGUGACCACCUAUAAUUUCAGCUUUGUGGGAUCCAGUUCCUUCUUCUGAUGCUCUUAUACACAUGGCACACACGAGACACAUGCGUAUACAUAAAUAAAAAUAAAAAGAUGAUAAACACAUUGCAACGGAUGACUAACAUAGCGAGGAACGUGACUGUGGUGGAAUGUAUUUAUUGAGCGCUAACCACGUUUUGUGUAACUUUCCCUGUGGGGGUAGGGUGAACAUUGAGCUAGAGUCUCAUUGUGUACCCAGGCUGGCCUUAGGCUCGACUCCUCCUGCCUCAGCCUUCUUAGUGCUGGGAUUGCAGUUUUAUGUCAACAUACUCAGUUUUAACUUUAAAGCUUCUUUGCAUUUAAGUAUCAUUCCCUAGAAUUUGGGAACAGAAAAGGAUUUUAAGGUGUGUUUGCUGCCCUCACAUGUCCCCCUGUGUUCCAGGGAUCCCAUAUCUGGCAUCUUCCAGUUAGUGCUUUGAAGCAGUUUUCCCUAUGAUGCAAUUUAUCAUCCAGACUAUGGGACAUUUAUGACUCCAUAAUUACAGGGAUAACAGGUAAGAACAUCUCAAGUCAAGCUGACUCAUCUUUAUGUCCACCCACACUGAGAAGACAUGAGCACUUUCCAUUUUAACUCUUUCCAAAGGACCGGGGAUAGAAGACACGAAGGAAGCCAGAGUCACCCUGUGAUCCUGGGAUGAGGACGCCAGUGAAAGACAUCCUAAAUAAGGAUGCAGCUCUCUCAGCUCC